rnacentral:lncRNA from 1 species
UCUUUACGUGGAGAUGGAAAGAAGCUAAGCUGUCCCUAGGGAUGCGGCAGCACACCCACCAGCUGUACAGCUCUUCUUGCUCACCUCCUUUGCAUGCAAAGCUUCUAGUCUGCAGAAUAUGAAGACUGGGAGAAGAUCAUGGAUCUGAAUAUACCGAGAUGGAAUAUCCAUUGCAAGGGUUUCCCCUUCUCAGAAGGAAUGAUCCUACUGCAGGAUCUGUAUGCAUAUCUCUGCAAAUUGUGUUGAGAAGGACCACAGGGCAUGUUGUCAAACAGACCCUGAGGAAGACCUGCACCAGACUUUCCUGACUACAGAGUAUGUAACUCCUUGAGUGCUUCCUGGUCUGCAGUGGAUGGCUUAGAGUGCCUUUGCCUCCUCCAGCACCUAGCUCUGCCAAGAGAUUCAGUGGAGAAUCCGGCAAGCACGACCCACCUCCCUCUGAGGAUUACAGGACACCAGAGGAGGAGUAAGCGAGAAAUCAAUCAGUCGCAGGUAAAGUGUAGGAGAGAUCCCUUAGCCAACCUCUACCUCUGAAAAGUAGUUUUGUUGAUGGAA